rnacentral:ribozyme from 1 species
UGCCCAACAACUCCUAUCCCUACCUCCUCGCGGUACUGGCCGGGAUACGAAUAAAUUUAGAGAAGAUCGG